rnacentral:rRNA from 1 species
UACGGGAGGCAGCAGGGGGAAUAUUGCACAAUGGGCGAAAGCCUGAUGCAGCUAUGCCGCGUGUAUGAAGAAGGCCUUAGGGUUGUAAAGUACUUUCAUCGGGGAGGAAAAAACAAAACUAAUAAUUUUAUUUCUUGACGUUACCCGAAAAAGAAGCACCGGCUAACUCCGUGCCAGCAGCCGCGGUAAUACGGAGGGUGCUAGCGUUAAUCAGAAUUACUGGGCGUAAAGAGCACGUAGGUGGUUUUUUUAAAGUCAGAUGUGAAAUCCCUGGGCUUAACCUAGGAACUGCAUUUUUGAAACUGAAAUACUAGAGUAUCGUAGAGGGAGGUAGAAUUCUAGGUGUAGCGGUGAAAUGCGUAGAUAUCUGGAGGAAUACCUGUGGCGAAAGCGGCCUCCUAAACGAAUACUGACACUGAGGGUGCGAAAGCGUGGGGAGCAAACAGGGAUUAGAUACC